rnacentral:tRNA from 1 species
GGUAGAAUGGCUGAGUUAUAGGCAGUAGAUUGUAAAUCUAUUAACGAGGGUGAACCCUCUUCUGCCA